UGGGGGCGAAAGAAAGAGGACCAGUAUAGGAUCGGAAAUACUGAUUGAUCCAUCAUUGCUGCUUUUGGACGAGCCAACAUCAGGACUGGAUUCUGCCACAGCUUUGAAAAUCCUGCAAGUUGUUGGGAACAUAGCACAAGUAAGUUCCUUCGCUAUUAUGAUCAGAAGAUCUAAAGUUUUACUUGUUCUAAAGGCAGGAAGAACAAUCCUUACCACGAUCCACCAGCCAUCGAGCAGGCUGUUUCACAUGUUUGACAAGCUGAUAUUGAUAUCUGAGGGCCACACUAUUUACUCGGGUCCUGCCAGGGAAGUGAUGAGUUACUUUUCUUCGCUGCACUUUGUACCAGAGAUAACUAUGAACCCGGCGGAUUUCCUGUUGGAUUUGGCUGUAGGAGUGGUGCAUGAUAUCAGCAUCCCCGAAGAUAUAACUAACCGCAGUCCAGAGGAGGAAAAGCUAGAUAAUGCUGGUGCAAGAGUGAUCAACGUCUUGGACUCGGAGAUAUUCUGCCACACCGUAGCUCCAACGUAUCAGCACGCAACAUCGAUCCCAAGACAUCCCGAAGACAGUCAGCGAAUUAUUGUCCAGGUAAGUUCUCUGCUUCUCAUGUACGCUGAUGGACCGACAUGUUUCCUGCAAAAGCACAGCACCUAAGAAUGAAAUACAAAACAGAACUGGAGCCAAAGGAGAAGCAGAAGAUAUGUACCUUGAAGGUUUCGAACAAUCUCAAGGAGAUGAUCCAAGCCAAACACGACUUCUCAUCAUCCUGGCCACUUCAGUUUAAAGUGCUGU
rnacentral:lncRNA from 1 species